rnacentral:rRNA from 1 species
UACGUAGGCAGCGAGCGUUGUUCGGAGUUACUGGGCGUAAAGGGUGCGUAGGCGGUUGUUUAAGUUUGGUGUGAAAUCUCCCGGCUCAACUGGGAGGGUGCGCCGAAUACUGAAUGACUAGAGUGCGGGAGAGGAUAGUGGAAUUCCUGGUGUAGCGGUGAAAUGCGUAGAUAUCAGGAGGAACACCGGUGGUGUAGACGGCUAUCUGGACCGUAACUGACGCUGAGGCA